UACGGAGGGUGCGAGCGUUGUUCGGAUUUAUUGGGUUUAAAGCGCGCGUAGGCGGCUGUCUAAGUCCGGGGUGAAAGCCCGUUGCUCAACACCGGAACUGCCUUGGAUACUGGGCAGCUUGAAUACAGACGAGGUUGGCGGAAUGGAGCGAGUAGAGGUGAAAUGCAUAGAUACGGUCCAGAACCCCGAUUGCGAAGGCAGCUGACUAGGCUGAUACUGACGCUGAGGCACGACAGCGUGGGGAGCGAACAGG
rnacentral:rRNA from 1 species